rnacentral:rRNA from 1 species
GACAGAGGGGGCAAGCGUUGCUCGGAAUUACUGGGCGUAAAGGGCGCGUAGGCGGGAUGGCAAGUCGGUCGUGAAAUCCUUCGGCUCAACCGAAGAACGUCGAUCGAUACUGCUGUUCUUGAGGGUUGCAGAGGAGACUGGAAUUCCCGGUGUAGCGGUGAAAUGGUGUAGAGAUCGGGAGGAACGACCGGUGGCGAAGGCGGGU